ensembl:lncRNA novel transcript
UCAUCUGAGAUCACCUGCGAAGUCACCCACAGGGCCCUGGCAGAGCCCCUGAAAACAACCAUGAAUCUCUCCCAAGUGCUCUGAGUUGUCCCCACCCUGAAGAUCACCACUGAAACCUCUGGGACCCAUGUACAUGUGCAAGACAGAGUGAAUCUCACCUGCCACGUCCUCCACUUCUAUCCCGCCCACCUGCGACUCACCUGGAUGGAGAACAGGAGCAUGAUCCAGACCCUGGUGUCCCCUCGUCCCCUCAGGCCACCAGAAAUCCAGAUGGGACAUACUCUCUGGAGCACACGUGGCAGGCAGAGGCCACGCUGGAGGAGCGUGAGUUUGCUUGCUGGGUGGUCCACGAUGAGCAGCCCCCACUCAAGGCCAACGUCACCCUGCAAGCCCAGGUGCGCAGGCAGGGGAAAGGGAUGUGGAUAAAGCUGGAAGCCAUCAUCCUCAGCAAACUAAUGCAGGAAGAGAAACUCAAACACUACGUGUUCUCACUCAUAAGUGGGAGCUGAACAAUGAGAACACAUGGACACACGGAGGAGAACAACACACACCGAGGCCUGUUGCAGCAGGCCAGAGUGUCCAGCCUUACAAGUUGCAAGGCCCCCUUCAGCGAUCUGAGCCUGGCACAAGGAUCCGAUUGACCUAUGCAUCCUCUGGGUUCUCGACACACCAGGUUACUGUGACCUGGCUUAAAAACAAACACGAGCUCCCAAACCCCCAGACCAGCGUCCAGUACAGUGGACACAC